GGAUACACAAGAGUGAUUGAAACUAAGUCUGUGUAUCC
rnacentral:misc_RNA from 1 species